rnacentral:rRNA from 1 species
GACGAACGCUGGCGGCGUGCUUAACACAUGCAAGUCGAACGGUAAGGCCCUUCGGGGUACACGAGUGGCGAACGGGUGAGUAACACGUGGGUGAUCUGCCCUGCACUUCGGGAUAAGCCUGGGAAGCUGGGUCUAAUACCGGAUAGGACUCCGGACUGCAUGGUCUGGGGUGGAAAGCUUUUGCGGUGUGGGAUGGGCCCGCGGCCUAUCAGCUUGUUGGUGGGGUGAUGGCCUACCAAGGCGACGACGGGUAGCCGGCCUGGGAGGGUGACCGGCCACACUGGGACUGAGAUACGGCCCAGACUCCUACGGGAGGCAGCAGUGGGGAAUAUUGCACAAUGGGCGCAAGCCUGAUGCAGCGACGCCGCGUGAGGGAUGACGGCCUUCGGGUUGUAAACCUCUUUCAGCACCGACGAAGCGCAAGUGACGGUAGGUGCAGAAGAAGGACCGGCCAACUACGUGCCAGCAGCCGCCGUAA